rnacentral:rRNA from 1 species
CACGUAGGGGGCGAGCGUUGUCCGGAUUUAUUGGGCGUAAAGAGCUCGUAGGCGGCUCGGUAAGUCGGGUGUGAAAUUUCGAGGCUUACCCUCGAAACGCCACCCGAUACUGCUGUGGCUAGAGUCCGGUAGGGGAGCGUGGAAUUCCUGGUGUAGCGGUGAAAUGCGCAGAUAUCAGGAGGAACACCAGCGGCGAAGGCGGCGCUCUGGGCCGGUACUGACGCUGAGGAGCGAAAGCGUGGGGAUCAAACAGG